rnacentral:rRNA from 1 species
GGUUAUACGAGUAACUCACAUUAAUACUUCACGGCGUAAAGGGUGAUUAAAAGUUUCUAAAAAGUACUAAAGUUAUAACCUUAUAAAGCUGUCAUACGCACCUAUAAAAGGAAUAAUACACUAACGAAAGUGACUUUAACUAGAUAGAGCU